rnacentral:lncRNA from 1 species
AUGGAUGUGAACAUAUUCACUGAUGGUGAUUCUCAGUUCCAGGAUGAGUCUGUGUUAUUCAGUGGUUGUUAUCUGGGAAUAACAUACUUUGUAAUGUCACGACUGACCAAUCAGAAUCCAGUAUUCCAGACAGCCGUGUGAUAAUCAUCAAUAACACCAGAAGUAUUCAAGCUUUCUACAUAAACCUGAUCUGUAAAUGUAAUCAGACGUGGACACCAGGACGGGGCGUUAGACUGGAGCCGUACUGAAAAGACGCAACUACACACAGAGUCUAUAUGAACAGAGUUUCAGCAUCCAGCCAGAGCCAGAGAUCUCCUCAACUCCUCCAGAUGAUUGUGCGCUUGACUGAUCAUCAUGCGGAUGGCAUCCUGCACAGGGAAAACACCCCAUUUCACAAAACACCACGACUGAAGACUCAGUGGAAAUAAAUAAAUAAUAAAAACUCGUCUAAGCAAUGUUUGUUAUUGCUUUGCUUGUUUGUAAUCUUGCUUAUUAGAAUAAUAGAACGUUACUAAUAAAAUCUGAAAGUGUGUGAGGUGUC